rnacentral:rRNA from 1 species
AAGUUUCAACAACGGAUCUCUUGGCUCUCGCAUCGAUGAAGAACGCAGCGAAAUGCGAUAAGUAAUGUGAAUUGCAGAAUUCAGUGAAUCAUCGAAUCUUUGAACGCACCUUGCGCUCCUUGGUAUUCCUUGGAGCAUGCCUGUUUGAGUAUCAUGAAAUCUUCAAAGUAAACCUUUUUUGUUAAUUCAAUUUAGGUCUCUUACUUUGGUCUUGGAGGUUAUUGCAGCUUCACACCUGCUCCUCUUUGUGCAUU